GAUGAACGCUGGCGGCGUGCCUAAUACAUGCCAGUCGAGCGAACAGACGAGGAGCUUGCUCCUCUGACGUUAGCGGCGGACGGGUGAGUAACACGUGGAUAACCUACCUAUAAGACUGGGAUAACUUCGGGAAACCGGAGCUAAUACCGGAUAACAUGUUGAACCGCAUGGUUCAACAGUGAAAGACGGUCUUGCUGUCACUUAUAGAUGGAUCCGCGCCGCAUUAGCUAGUUGGUAAGGUAACGGCUUACCAAGGCAACGAUGCGUAGCCGACCUGAGAGCGUGAUCGGCCACACUGGAACUGAGACACGGUCCAGACUCCGACGGGAGGCAGCAGUAGGGAAUCUUACGCAAUGGGCGAAAGCCUGACGGAGCAACGCCGCGUGAGUGAAGAAGGUCUUCGGAUCGUUAAACUCUGUUAUUAGGGAAGAACAAAUGUGUAAGUAACUAUGCACGUCUUGACGGUACCUAAUCAGAAAGCCACGGCUAACUACGUG
rnacentral:rRNA from 1 species